rnacentral:lncRNA from 1 species
GCCCAGCGUGCCCCAAGCCCAGCUCUGCUUGGUGCCUCCAUUACAGACCUCAGCUGCCAAGGCCAUGAGCAGACAAGCCUAAAAUCUGAGUUUGGUCUAGAAGCUGUACGGGGUCUCCUGGGUACCCCCACUUCACUCCUGACCCUCCUCUAAGAAUCUCCAUGCAGUGGAAAGGUGAGAUAUCUCAUCCCACCAACUUGGAGC